rnacentral:rRNA from 1 species
GAUGAACGCUAGCGGCAGGCUUAAUACAUGCAAGUCAAGGGGGUAGCAAUACAACCGGCGCACGGGUGAGUAACGCGUACACAACAUACCAUAUACUGGGGUAUAGCUUCGGGAAACUGGAGAUAAUCCCCCAUAACAUUGCGAGAGGGCAUCUGAUUGCAAUUAAAGUUUCGACGGUAUAUGAUUGGUGUGCGUUUGAUUAGCUUGUUGGUAGGGUAACGGCCUACCAAGGCGACGAUCAAUAGCUGGCGUGAGAGCGCGACCAGCCACACUGGAACUGAGACACGGUCCAGACUCCUACGGGAGGCAGCAGUAGGGAAUAUUGGACAAUGGGCGAAAGCCUGAUCCAGCCAUGCCGCGUGAUAGAUGAAGGCCCUCUGGGUUGUAAAUAUCUUUUAUCUGGGAAGAAACUCCUCUAUUCUUAGAGGCCUGACGGUACCAGAGGAAUAAGCACCGGCUAACUCCGUGCCAGCAG